UACUAUAUAAAGAAACCAUUCCCGAAGAUUUUAUACCACCACUUUUACAGCAAAUCAUGAAUGGAAACUGAACUGUUAUAGAAGAUGUUACAAAGGAGCAUACUACUUCCAAAAACCUGAUUUGAUUGUCACUAACUGUCAAAUUGAAGGGAUUCUACUACAACUGCUCAUGAAUUUUGAGAUUUUACAGCAAAUAGAGGAACAAAUUUUAUCUG
rnacentral:sRNA from 1 species